rnacentral:lncRNA from 1 species
UCCCUACUAGCCUGUAUCAACUAUCUUAUUCUUUACAACAACGAUUUGAGGAGUAACAAUAUUUUAGCUAAUAGAUGUAAAAGCGAAGAUAAACACAUUGAGCAAAGGGGGAAUUGGCGAAACAGGCUGCAUUGCACGAGGGAAUAUCGGAAGAGGCCAGUCGAAAAAUCGCCAGAAUCAAACAACUUCAAGGUGCAAACGCAAGGACGCUUACAAAGGAAGGUGAACACUGAUCGACUGCAGUACUACUAACGACGGAACAAACAGUUCCUCAAGUGUAGCCCUAUUUACAGAACGAGUCGAAAAUGUCUCAGAAGCGUAUAUGGCAGGUUUGUACUACGGACAAUAUAUGUGACGAUUUUUAAACCAGGCUUCGAUUAAGCUUAAGGUAGGGAGGAUCAAUUGUUAUCUACUAGGCACCUGACUACAGAAGUUCCAAUUUGGGACCUUUGUCUCCAAAGUACUACAAUCGAGGAGAUUGACCAGAACAACAGAUCUCGCGCUCGUCUGGGAGAACUUGAAGUACAACAAGGUGAACACCUGCAACCGUAUCAAAAUCGGCAUCUCCUAAAGCUUAGCGACCAACUUGACGCGGAGAUCGCUAGAAGUAAAAUACGUUCAGAUGAAUGGCAAGUAAGGAAUACUUGUCUGAGAAAUGCAAAGGAAGCACUAGGGCAACAGCUUGCCAAAAUGGUCGCAACUACUUCGAAUGUUGACUUAAAAUCACUGGAAGAAAAGCAGAAAAAGCUAGAAAAUGAAAAUCGUGAUCUGGAAGAACAGAAAGCAAAACUCAAGAAGCAGGUCAAAGAAUUGACCCAGCAGCAGCAGGAGUUUAAACAAGAAAAAGAAACAUUAGAGAAGUUAAAUGGAGUAAUGGCAAAAAAUCAGACCAGACUUGCCAACAAUUUCUCCCAAGCUCAGGAAGAAGCUACGCGUUUAAGGAAGGACUGGAAUAACAGUAAGCUACUAUAUGAAAAGAAGAUUGCGGAACUGAAAGAACAGCUCGCCGAAAAGGUACACAGCGAGAAAAUUGAAAAGGCCUCAAUGAAGAAAGACACAUGAUUGCCGACAACGAAUAAGCGAUUUCCUCGACAAUAAAGCUGACAAUGGAGUUUUGUGGCUGAUCUUUGACCUCUAUUAACCUCAUUUCCGUAUGUCGCACGCGAUCCAGGCAAGUACGGAACC